rnacentral:rRNA from 1 species
AUUACUCCUACGGGAGGCAGCAGUGGGGAAUUUUGGACAAUGGGCGAAAGCCUGAUCCAGCAAUGCCGCGUGAGUGAUGAAGGCCUUAGGGUUGUAAAGCUCUUUUACCAGGGAUGAUAAUGACAGUACCUGGAGAAUAAGCUCCGGCUAACUCCGUGCCAGCAGCCGCGGUAA